ACUCCUACGGGAGGCAGCAGUGGGGAAUAUUGCACAAUGGGGGAAACCCUGAUGCAGCCAUGCCGCGUGUGUGAAGAAGGCCUUCGGGUUGUAAAGCACUUUCAGUAGGGAGGAAGGUAGUGUAGUUAACACCUGCAUUAUUUGACGUUACCUACAGAAGAAGCACCGGCUAACUCCGUGCCAGCAGCCGCGGUAAUACGGAGGGUGCGAGCGUUAAUCGGAAUUACUGGGCGUAAAGCGCAUGCAGGCGGCCUGUUAAGUCAGAUGUGAAAGCCCGGGGCUUAACCUCGGAAUUGCAUUUGAAACUGGCAGGCUAGAGUCUUGUAGAGGGGGGUAGAAUUUCAGGUGUAGCGGUGAAAUGCGUAGAGAUCUGAAGGAAUACCAGUGGCGAAGGCGGCCCCCUGGACAAAGACUGACGCUCAGAUGCGAAAGCGUGGGGAGCAAACAGGAUUAGAUACCCUGGUAGGAUAGCC
rnacentral:rRNA from 1 species